UCGGCUAACUCCGUGCCAGCAGCCGCGGUAAUACGGAGGAUGCAAGCGUUAUCCGGAUUUAUUGGGUUUAAAGGGUGCGUAGGCGGCUUUUUAAGUCAGGGGUGAAAGACGGUAGCUCAACUAUCGCAGUGCCCUUGAUACUGAAGAGCUUGAAUGGACUAGAGGUAGGCGGAAUGUGACAAGUAGCGGUGAAAUGCAUAGAUAUGUCACAGAACACCGAUUGCGAAGGCAGCUUACUAUGGUUUUAUUGACGCUGAGGCACGAAAGCGUGGGGAUCAAACAGGAUUAGAUACCCUGGUAGUCCACGCCCUAAACGAUGAAUACUCGCUGUUAGCGAUACACAGUUAGCGGCUAAGCGAAAGCGUUAAGUAUUCCACCUGGGGAGUACGGUCGCAAGAUUGAAACUCAAAGGAAUUGACGGGGGCCCGCACAAGCGGAGGAGCAUGUGGUUUAAUUCGAUGAUACGCGAGGAACCUUACCCGGGCUUGAAAGUUAGUGAAUCAUUUAGAGAUAGAUGAGUCCGCAAGGACACGAAACUAGGUGCUGCAUGGCUGUCGUCAGCUCGUGCCGUGAGGUGUUGGGUUAAGUCCCGCAACGAGCGCAACCCCUAUGUUUAGUUGCCAGCACGUUAUGGUGGGGACUCUAAACAGACUGCCUGUGCAAACAGAGAGGAAGGAGGGGACGACGUCAAGUCAUCAUGGCCCUUACGUCCGGGGCUACACACGUGCUACAAUGGAUGGUACAGAGGGCAGCAAGCUGGCAACAGCAAGCAAAUCUCCAAAAGCCAUUCACAGUUCGGAUAGAGGUCUGCAACUCGACCUCUUGAAGUUGGAUUCGCUAGUAAUCGUAUAUCAGCAAUGAUACGGUGAAUACGUUCCCGGGCCUUGUACACACCGCCCGUCAAGCCAUGGAAGUUGGGGGUAC
rnacentral:rRNA from 1 species